rnacentral:rRNA from 1 species
CCAAUAGCGUAUAUUAAAGUUGUUGCAGUUAAAAAGCUCGUAGUUGAAUUUCGGGAUUAGUACGUCGGUCGUGCCUUAGGUACGUACUGGUGUUACUGGUUCCUACCUUCUGACGAACCAUCAUGUCAUUAAUUUGGUGUGGUGGGGAAUCAGGACUGUUACUUUGAAAAAAUUAGAGUGUUUAAAGCAGGCUCGCGCUUGAAUACAUUAGCAUGGAAUAAUGAAAUAGGACGUUGAUCCUAUUUUGUUGGUUUCUAGGAUUGACGUAAUGAUUAAUAGGGAUAGUUGGGGGCAUUAGUAUUCAAUUGUCAGAGGUGAAAUUCUUGGAUUUAUUGAAGACUAACUACUGCGAAAGCAUUUGCCAAGGAUGUUUUCAUUAAUCAAGAACGAAAGUUAGGGGAUCGAAGACGAUCAGAUACCGUCGUAGUCUUAACCAUAAACUAUGCCGACUAGGGAUCGGAUGAUGCUAUUUUUAAUGACUCAUUCGGCGCCUUACG